UGGCAUGAUGGUUGCUACAGUGCUCUUUCUCCCAUGAAGUCUUUGCUUUUAUAUCAGUGCCUUAUCUGUUAAGCUCCUGGAGGAAAGCCCCCUAUUCUAGAUCUUUAUGUGAAUGGAUAAAUGUGACACCCGAGACACCCUUUAGUAGUUUGACAGCUUGCGUGUGUGCCGCCUAAUUAGAGCACAGGGAGCAGGGCAGCUGUUAUUCCUGUUUUACCAAGUCAAGGCUUAGGGAAGUUCAGCCACCUGCUUAGAUGAUAUAUCAAGGUGGCAGUGGAAGGGGGUGAGCUAAGGACCCAGCAAGGUUUCCUGGAGGCAAAGUUUAUGAAAUCCUUUCUGUAACUCCAUAAAGAUGUCUGCAGCUAUUUCCUACCCAGAUGUUCCUGAUGUGAUAAGCAGGGGACUUUUUUUUUUUUUCCUUCAGAUGCUAUCCAUAAAAUCCAAGCCCUUUCUUAAGAUACAAGCAGAAGAACGGUUGCGUUUUUGUGGGUGUGCUGUCAGCCUGGGGGGUGGGGGGUGGGGGGUGGGAGAGCGAUUACUCUGUGUUUAGGUUUGUCACGCACAUUCUUUGCAUCUGUAUUGUACCAGCUUUAUAGCACUGUUUCAUGCCAAAGUUCUGAUGACGUAACCAGUUGACCCUUCACACAGAGUGCCCUUUCCCCCCCUCCCCCCUCCCCAUGCUUCUGUGAUUGCUCUGUAGCCAUGUGAAGCUUGCUAGCCGCGGCUGUACAUCCUGUGACUUCCACCUUGGGUUUAGUAAUGGGAGCUUGAGAUUGGAGAGCUGAGUCCUCUGUGGGUUCUGUAUUUAUCCAUUUGGCUUGAAGCUUUGUUUAUAUAUCGGCUGCUUUUUUUUUUUUAAAUGCUCAGACCAUUAUUUAUUUCUUGAGUGUAUAUAAGUAUAAAGACAAAUCUAUGGUUAGUUUUUACUUUAAGAUUAACCGAUUUCAAGAUUUACAAAAAAAAACAACAAAAAACAAAAAACAAAUUUAAUAGUAAAAUAAAAAAGUAUACAGC
rnacentral:lncRNA from 1 species